UACGUAGGGGGCAAGCGUUGUCCGGAAUCAUUGGGCGUAAAGCGCGUGUAGGCGGCCCAGUAAGUCCGCUGUGAAAGCCCAGGGCUCAACCCUGGGAUGCCGGUGGAUACUGUUGGGCUUGAGUCCGGAAGAGGCGAGUGGAAUUCCCGGUGUAGCGGUGAAAUGCGCAGAUAUCGGGAGGAACACCAAUGGCGAAGGCAGCUCGCUGGGACGUGACUGACGCUGAGACGCGAAAGCGUGGGGAGCAAACAGG
rnacentral:rRNA from 1 species